rnacentral:rRNA from 1 species
GACGAACGCUGGCGGCGUGCCUAAUACAUGCAAGUUGAGCGAUGAAGAUUGGUGCUUGCACCAAUUUGAAGAGCAGCGAACGGGUGAGUAACGCGUGGGGAAUCUGCCUUUGAGCGGGGGACAACAUUUGGAAACGAAUGCUAAUACCGCAUAACAACUUUAAACAUAAGUUUUAAGUUUGAAAGAUGCAAUUGCAUCACUCAAAAAUGAUCCCGCGUUGUAUUAGCUAGUUGGUGAGGUAAAGGCUCACCAAGGCGAUGAUACAUAGCCGACCUGAGAGGGUGAUCGGCCACAUUGGGACUGAGACACGGCCCAAACUCCUACGGGAGGCAGCAGUAGGGAAUCUUCGGCAAUGGACGAAAGUCUGACCGAGCAACGCCGCGUGAGUGAAGAAGGUUUUCGGAUCGUAAAACUCUGUUGGUAGAGAAGAACGUUGGUGAGAGUGGAAAGCUCAUCAAGUGACGGUAACUACCCAGAAAGGGACGGCUAACUACGUG